UCAUGGCACUCUAGCCCAGGCAACAUAGUGAGACUCUGUCUCAAAAAAAAAGGCAGUAAGAAAAAGUGGAUCUGCCUCUUUCCUGUGGGGCUCCCACUGAACAAAUGGAAGAAAAUAUUAUUAAAUUAUUAACCAAGUGCUCAGCUCCCCUGGCAGUCCCGGUUGUCUGACCCUGUGGGGCUGGUGCAUUCCUCUAGAGCCAUACAUAGGACCACUUCCUGUCACAAAGUCCAAAUCUGAGACAGACAGCCUACUGGCCACCAAGUCUUCAGGGUAAAGGAGAAUCCCGACAGAAGAUGCGAGAGGGAGUAGACAGACAGCCUGAUGGCCAAACUGUGAGGGUUUUUAAUUUAGCUCGAUGACAGAAGAGCACCAGAGACAGAGAAAGAAGUGGGAAGGCAGCGACUUCAUGGCAUGUCAUGCCACAAGCCCCCAGAAGCAGGAAGCAGAAGGAGGUGGGGUCCACGGCUGUCACCUUUCUGGACAGACUCCACUGCUCCCCAGUGAGCACGGCCCAAUCUGCCUGGUGAGGUCCUGGUUCCCUCCUCCUGGAGAACAGCAAGGUGGAGCUAGAAGGACAUUCCUCUCAGCUCCUGGACCAGCUCCCCUCCCACCUUGCCAAGCAUUCAAAUCAGGCUUAGAGCAAGAAGAAGAGAAAGGUCAGCCAAGGAAACUGUGUGGAGUAGCUUUCGAGGCCUCACGCAGGUCACGUGGCACUCUGCUCCCCAUACACACACCUUUCGCAUCUUUCCAAGAUGGGACUCUCAGUUCCUCACCUACAAGUAAGACAUGCUGCCCAGCAGCCCGACACAUGGGAUGCCACACACUCUCCUGGGUGCCCUAAAUACCUGCACCAAAGACUCCAUGCGCUUAAACAACUGGGAGUGAGUGUGCAGGGCUGGAAAAGCUGCCACCUGGGCUGCUUCUGCCACUCAGCUCCAAUAGAUAAAGCACCCGUUUUCCUCCCAGUAAAACUUUUGUUUCUCUUUUUCCAAGAAAAAAGAAAAGCCAUUUAGGAAUGGGAAAUUCAAUUUAGAGAAGCGAAAGAUUGCUUUUAUCCCUUGAAACUUCCCUUUCUUGAUUCUUUUCUACUUUUAAAUGAGUCAGUUAUUUUUUCACCAAACUAUUUGUUUCAGUGAUGGUGCAUCAAUGAGAGGAGGAAGAAACUCUAACAAAGCACACAGCUUUCAAGGAAUCUUUUCUUGGGCAGUGCCCAGAGGGUAAACAUAGGAAUCUCCUCUAAUCUCCUUUGGGCCUGGGGCAUGUCCUCAGUUCAGUGUCAGCUGCUCUGGGCCAGCCUGUGGCCCAGCGCUGCAGGCGGGGAUGGGGGCUCUGGGUGGGAACAAACCCAAAAGUAGAAGUCCCAUGGCUGUUAUGGGAAAGGCAGUGGCCGCUUGAUGAAAAGUUCUGCCAUUCAGUGAAUGAUCUCUGCACUGAUGUCUCCAGAAGACUGGGACCAUCAGAAAAUCAGGUAUGCACAUGUUAUCUUGCUUCCCUGAUGGCUAGUUGUAGGGGGCGGGGUGGGGGAGAAGCAAACCUCCAAGAAUGUGAUCGUUCCAUCAUGGUCACGUUCCCUCUUCUGGACCAAUCAUUAAGGCUAGAAAGUGGGUGCGAUGAUCAGCGCAGUCUGGCUCUUCUGUCCGCCCCAGAGCGAUCGCUGUGACAGGGAGGUAGCAGCUGGCAGCUCCCAUUGGGACAGCACGGGGAAGGGGAGGGAGGAUCGGGUCCAUCACAAAAUCGGGGUGUUGUUCCCUUAGGAAGGCAGCUGUUAAUUCCAGUGACAGCAAGUCUUAAAAAUUCUAAGAUGAUACAAGUACCUGAGGGAAAUGGGACUAAUAAUUUCUGAAUGCUUACUGUGGGACAAGUGCUUUGCAUAAGCUAUCCGUAUCAUCCUCAAAAACAAACACACUUAUAUGACACAGGUAUUAUUUUCCCCAUUUUACCAAGGAGGAAACUGAGAUGUAGACAAGUGAAGUGGCUUGCUCAAGCACAGACAGAUCCUAAGCCAGGUUUUGAACUCAGUUCUGUUUGAUUUUAAUCCCAGGCAAUUAAUCAUCAUAAUACAUUGGCUUCCCUGUUAAUCUACCCAACGUACACGUGUAUGUGUAAAAUACUUUAAAUUGCUUUUAUGCUAAUUAAUAAUAUUGGCUCUCAGUGGCUGCAAAUUCUCUAACACUCCUCCCAUGGAACAGUCGGGUCUACAUCCUCUCCCUGCUAAUCUGGGCAGACUGUGACUGCUUUGACCAACAUAGCACAGUAGGAAUGAGGCUGUGUGACUUCUGAGGCUGGGUCCUCAAAGGCCAGGCAGCUUUGGCCUUGUUCACUGGGAUUCUCACUCUUGGCACCGGAUGAAAUCACAUGAGAGGUGUCACUACCCUGAGGCUGCCAUGCUGUGAGGAAGCCCAAGCCACAUGAAGGAGUAACAUGGGCACUGGGUCAACAGUCCUGGCUGAGCCCAGCCUUCAGGUCAUCCUAGCUCACGUGCUAGACAUGAGUGAAGAAGCCUCUGGGUGGUUCCAGCCCACAGCCAUUCGAGUCUUCCCAUCUGAGGCCUCCAAAGUCAUGGAACAGAGACCAGCCACCCCUAUAGUGUGCCAUCCAAAUUCCCGAGACAAUGAAUGCAACAGCGCAGUUGAUGGGGGUUGUUGUAUGCACCUCAGCUUGAGAUGGUUUACUACCCAGCAACAGAUAACUGGAACAGCCCCAGAACCGGAAUCAAUGAUGUCUGGCUCUGGAAUACCUGGAUUUUGAAGAUGAAACUGAGGACUGUGUUGUAACAGUAAACAGGACUGUGGCUGCCCCACCACAGCCCAGGUCCCUGGGCUCCAGGGAUGCACAGGCAGAGCCCCGGGAGGGCUGGAAGAAGUCUCCCCCUUCUUUUGAGGAGGUCAGUGCCUAAUUUUUUUAUAGACAGGGUCUUGCUAUGUUUUCCACACUGGUCUCCAACUCCAACUCAAGCAAUCCUCCUUUCUCAGUCUCCUAAAGUGCUGGGAUUACCAGCAUGAGCCAGUGUGCCUGACCCUUCUAACACUAAGUGCACAGGUGACCAUACGGCCACCCACAAGAAAAUCUUUCCUGGUCUCCUUUGCAAUAGAUGACGGCAUAUAACUAAGUUCUGGCCAAUGGGAUGAAAGCAACACGUUGUCUAACUUCCAAAAAGUGCCCUUAAGAGAGGGGCCAUGUCCUUCUCCCAGGGUGACCAGGUUGUCCCCGUGUGCCUGAGACCUUACUGGUUUUAGCACUGGAAGUCCCACACCCCGGGCCAGCCAGGAGAGUUGGUCAUGUUCUCCGGCCCUCCCUCCUUCCCUCUGGCUAGACCGCAGGUGUGACAGAGGCCAUCUCAGAAGCACGGGGUGGAAGCCACACACUGAGGAUCUCACAAGACUGCUGCUUGGAUGGCACUGGGACGUUGAUUUCAUGUGACUCAAAUUAUUUCUGUAGAGAGGGGUCCUGAGCCUGGAUCUCUGGUUAAUGACUUUAGGCUGUCAUUUAUCCGGGAGAAAAAUAAACUUCUAUCUGUUUAA